UGGACAAUGGGCGCAAGCCUGAUCCAGCCAUGCCGCGUGUCUGAAGAAGGCCUUCGGGUUGUAAAGGACUUUUGUCAGGGAAGAAAAGGCUGUUGCUAAUAUCAGCGGCUGAUGACGGUACCUGAAGAAUAAGCACCGGCUAACUACGUGCCAGCAGCCGCGGUAAUACGUAGGGUGCGAGCGUUAAUCGGAAUUACUGGGCGUAAAGCGGGCGCAGACGGUUACUUAAGCAGGAUGUGAAAUCCCCGGGCUCAACCCGGGAACUGCGUUCUGAACUGGGUGACUCGAGUGUGUCAGAGGGAGGUAGAAUUCCACGUGUAGCAGUGAAAUGCGUAGAGAUGUGGAGGAAUACCGAUGGCGAAGGCAGCCUCCUGGGAUAACACUGACGUUCAUGCCCGAAAGCGUGGGUAGCAAACAGGAUUAGAUACCCUGGUAGUCCACGCCCUAAACGAUGUCAAUUAGCUGUUGGGCAACUUGAUUGCUUAGUAGCGUAGCUAACGCGUGAAAUUGACCGCCUGGGGAGUACGGUCGCAAGAUUAAAACUCAAAGGAAUUGACGGACCC
rnacentral:rRNA from 1 species